rnacentral:rRNA from 1 species
UACGUAGGGUGCGAGCGUUGUCCGGAAUUACUGGGCGUAAAGAGCUCGUAGGUGGUUUGUCGCGUUGUUCGUGAAAACUCACAGCUCAACUGUGGGCGUGCGGGCGAUACGGGCAGACUGGAGUACUGCAGGGGAGACUGGAAUUCCUGGUGUAGCGGUGGAAUGCGCAGAUAUCAGGAGGAACACCGGUGGCGAAGGCGGUCUGCUGGGCAGUUGCUGACACUGAGGCGCGACAGCGUGGGGAGCAAACAGG